GAUCACAAGGAUAUUGAGUAAAUUUUCCCUGAGAAAUAAUCAGAAUUCUGAGGUCAUAAACUUUGAUUACGUUUCUUGAUGCUUGUGCUUACGUAAACAAAUACAAUGGAAUUCUUUUAGAAUGUGAUGAUUGGCGUAGAAGACUAAAUUCUCAUUUCAUAUAGAUCUGGUAUACUUUAGGGUUUUUUCUUUUCUGGAUAGAGUUUUGUGUGUCAGUGGGCAUGUUUUAACCAGUAGUAAAUAUAAAUUUGGAUACUGAAGAGCCAACCUCUCCCUAGAUACAAAAGUAUCUUGAAACAUUGGCAACUGGACUUCCAGUGUGUAACUCUAAACUACAGGUUGCUCUUUCAACAAUCUCUUGAUAAAAUUUAGUCACCUCAAGGGUGACUUGUCUUUUCAACUUCGAAAACUAAUGACCGUUCUUGUGGUGGAAACUCACCUCUUCAAAACCUUGUGAAUGAUCUGUAGGUGAUUGGCAUUGAGCCACUGAACGCCGCCAACGACCAACACGGUCUGGGCUGUGUUCUCCAGGGGACGGGAUCUGAAACGCAGAAAGGAGAACAACAGGUUGCCUUGACGCGGAUGGUGAACAGCUUAACCGCAGUGCCCCCACGUUUCCCUGAAGCACAUCUAGCAUCCCGGUCCAGGACCCCCGAGUCAUCCCCGGCUCGGGCUCAGCCGUAGUCCUCGCUGUGUACGCUUUUCGCCCCCUCUGCUAGACGGCGCGGCCACGCUCAUCCCGCUGUACCUUUGCAAGAGGUGCUCGAGCGCCGUUUCAAAGGUGGGUCUCAGGGCAGGGCUCAUCCAGAACUGGGGGUAGUAGGAGUAGCUGACCGGAGUCUUCCCCCCGUUGACGUUGGGGUAGGACCUGGUGCCGUGCACCUUCUGCCAUUCCUGCAGGGUGUCGUUCAGUCUUUCGAUCAGGUAAUACAUUAUUCCUCUGUUGGUCGAAUCUCCAAUGAAAAGAAUCUAUGAAUUAAAGACAAAUAAUUGCUCUCAGAUCUGAUGUCUACACGGUACGAGAGGCAACGUAAAAUGGGUUUCAUUUGUUGAAGACGCAGCAAGCCACAACGCCCUGUCUGCAGGGGGCCCCUCGCAGCUGUUAGAACGGACAGUCCGCACGUUCCCCCCAAACCUGCUCCUCCUCCUCUCCCCCGUGUUCCUUGUGACCUGCUGACCCACGUAGAGAGCUCUUUGCUCGGAGCCGUGGUCAGGUUCCCGUCUGCCGGAUGCCCUUGGCUUCCCAGCUAUCUGAUGAGCUUCACCAAGUUGACUGAUCCCAAGAUGCAUGACGUAUUCAGUGCUGUAUGGAUGCUCUGGGAUUUUCCCCAUGUCUUAGAGAUUCUGGGAAUCCACAGAAGUUAGCUCACUAGAGGUCAUGCUACUCCUUGAAGAAAGAGCCAGAGAACGGGAGCAAGAGCUCCUGAACAGCCGUGCGUGUCCCGGGAGCAGGCCCAGGGCCAUCUGCCCCGGGGGAGUCCUGCUCAUCACCUCCUUCACAUCCCCCCCCAGCCGCUCUGCCUCGGGCUCCCACCACCCCAAAGCUGUGCUGACAGCUGCCCUCGAGCCCUGCUACACACACAGCACUAGCGUGUGUGCAGAUUUCCCAGGGCCUGCUUCCGUCCCCUGUCACACUCAAACGCCUUAUCAACUGUCCACCUUCUAUAGGAUCCAGCCCACGUGACUUAGGUUAAGCCAACAGCGGCGGAAUUUUUAUUGCACCUCAGACUUUGCAGGGGGAGAUUUCACACAGGGCGCUCACUUUUAAUCAUAAUCGGGAGGUUUGAAUCAUUAUUUCCAUUUCACAGACGAGGAAUUUGAGGCUCAAGGAGAUUGAGGACAUAAAUCUAGCAAACGGGGACCUCAGGAGUCAAACCGAGGCCCUUUGACUCCAAGUGCAGGGUCAACGGCCCCGUCCUCUCCAUGCUUCCCCUCGUGUAAGCAGGUCAGAUUCCGACUUUUUCGCUGAACGUGAUUUGCACUCCACAACAUCUGUUUUCCCUUGUGCUAAUCCGCCUGGUGAGCAAGCUCCUCCCUCUGCAGCCCCACCUGUGUAAACGCCAUCCACCCUCCAGACCCGAGAGAAACACGCGUCUCUCCCAGUGGGUCUUGUCCGAUGCCCCAGCUUGUCCAAUGACCUUCCCUGCCCUCUGUGAUUUCAUUACAUUUUUAAUUUCCAUUACAGAUUUUAUCGAAGGCUACAUGAAGCAGUCAUUUCUCAGGACCACUGCAUUUGUCCACGCACAGCACAAUGAGUGAGAAUCUGCAAAUUUUGUUCUUUCCCUGAGACACAGCUAGAGAGAGAGAGGCAGAGACACAGGCAGAGGGAGAAGCA